CAAGUCGAACGGAAAGGCCCUUCGGGGGUACUCGAGUGGCGAACGGGUGAGUAACACGUGGGUGAUCUGCCCUGCACUUUGGGAUAAGCCUGGGAAACUGGGUCUAAUACCGAAUACACCUCGCUGGCCGCAUGGUCUGGUGGGGGAAAGCUUUUGCGGUGUGGGAUGGGCCCGCGGCCUAUCAGCUUGUUGGUGGGGUGAUGGCCUACCAAGGCGACGACGGGUAGCCGGCCUGAGAGGGUGACCGGCCACACUGGGACUGAGAUACGGCCCAGACUCCUACGGGAGGCAGCAGUGGGGAAUAUUGCACAAUGGGCGCAAGCCUGAUGCAGCGACGCCGCGUGGGGGAUGACGGCCUUCGGGUUGUAAACCCCUUUCAGCACAGACGAAGCGCGAGUGACGGUAUGUGCAGAAGAAGGACCGG
rnacentral:rRNA from 1 species